rnacentral:rRNA from 1 species
CCUACGGGGUGCAGCAGUGAGGAAUAUUGGUCAAUGGACGAGAGUCUGAACCAGCCAAGUAGCGUGAAGGAUGACUGCCCUAUGGGUUGUAAACUUCUUUUAUAUGGGAAUAAAACGUUCCACGUGUGGGAUUUUGUAUGUACCAUAUGAAUAAGGAUCGGCUAACUCCGUGCCAGCAGCCGCGGUAAUACGGAGGAUCCGAGCGUUAUCCGGAUUUAUUGGGUUUAAAGGGAGCGUAGGUGGAUUGUUAAGUCAGUUGUGAAAGUUUGCGGCUCAACCGUAAAAUUGCAGUUGAAACUGGCAGUCUUGAGUACAGUAGAGGUGGGCGGAACUCGUGGUGUAGCGGUGAAAUGCUUAGAUAUCACGAAGAACUCCGAUUGCGAAGGCAGUUCACUGGACUGCAACUGACACUGAGGCUCGAAAGUGUGGGUAUCAAACAGGAUUAGAUACCCCUGUAGUC